rnacentral:lncRNA from 1 species
CUAAACAAACCCUAAACCCUUAAACCCUAACCUAAACCUAAAACCCUAAACCUAAACCUGAGACCCUAAACCCUAACCCUAAACCUAAACCCUAAACCAUAAACCCUAAACCCUAAACUACCCUAAACCCUAAACCCUAAACCCUAAACAACCUAAACCCGUAAACCCUAAACCCUAAACCCUAAACCCUAAACCUAAACCCUAAACCCUAAACCCUAAAACCCUAAACCGUAAACCCUAAACCUUAAACCUAACCCUAAACCUAAACCCUAAACCCUAAACCUAAACCUAAACCCUGAACAAACCCUAAACCCCUAAAACCCUUAAACCCUAAACCUAAACGCCUAAACCCUAAACCCAAACCCUACAACCCUAAACCCUAAACCUUAAACCCUAACAAACCCUAAACCCUAAACCCUAAACCCUAAACCCUAAAACCGUAAACCUAAAACCCUAAACCACCUAAACCCUAAACCCAAUAAGCCCUAAAACCCUAAACCAACCUAAACCCUAAACCUACAACCUAAACCCUAAGACCCUAAACCCUAAACCUAAACCUAAACCUAACCCAAACCCUUAACCCUAAACGCCUAAACCUAAACCCUACCAAACCCUAAACCCUAAACCCUAAAACGCCUAAACCCUAAACCCUAGCUAAACCCUAAGACCCUAAACCCUAAACGCCGUAACUAAGACUACCGGUACUAACCCUAAACCGCUAAGACCGCUACCUAAACCCUAAACCUAAACCCUAAGCCUAACCCUAAACAACCCUAAAGCCACCCAAACACCUAAACCCUAAACCCUAAACCCUAAACCCUAAGAACAGACCCUAAAAGCCCUAAACCCUAAAAACCUAAACCUAAAACCCUAACCCCAAACCCUAAACCCUAAACCCUAAACCUAAACCCUAAACCCUAAACCCUAAACCCUAAACUAAACCUACAAACCCUAAAACCCUAACCCUAAACCCUAAACCCUAAACCCUAAACCCUAAACCUAAACCCUAAACCCUUAAACCCUAAACCCGUAACCUACAAACCCUAAACCUAAACCGCUAAACCUAAAACCCUAAACCCUAAACCAAACUAAACCCUAACCUAAACCUUACAACCCUAAACCCUAAACCCUCCCUAACCCUUAAACCCUAAACCCUACCAAACCCUACUAAACCCUAAGACCCCUACCCUAAACCUAAACAAACCUAAACCUAAACCCUUAAACCUAAACCUAAAGCCUUAACCCUAAACCCUAAACCCUAAACCCGUAAACCCUACCCAAACCUAACCCUAAACCCUAAACCCUAAACCCUAAAACCACCUUAAACCUAAAACCCUAAAACCCUAAACCCUUUUUAAAACCCUAAACCUAAUGACCUAAACCUAAAACCCAAACCCCUAAAGCCUAAACCCUACCCUAAACCCUAAACCCUAAACCCUAACCUAACCCUAAACCCUAAACCAACCCUAACCCUAAACCUAAACCCUAAAACCCUAAACCCAUAACCCUAAACCUAAUUACCUAAACCUAACCUAAAACCCUAAACCCUAAACCCUAAACCCUAAACCUAAACCCUAAACCCUAAAACCCUAACCUAAACCCAACCUAAACACCUAAACCCGUAAACCCUAAACCCUAAACCUAAACCCUAAACGCCUAAACCCUAAACCCUAAACCCUAAACCUAAACCCAACCUAAACCCCUAAACCCUAACACCUAAACCUAAACCUAAACCUAAACCCUAAACCCUAAACCCUAAACCCUAAACCCUAAACUCUACCUACCUAACUAAACCUAAACCCUAAAACCCCCUAAACCUAAACGCCUAAACCCUAAACCUAAACCCUGAAACCCUAAACCCUAAAACCCUGACAAACCCUAAACCCUAAACCCUAAACCCUAACACGGCCUAAACCCUAAACCCAACCCUAAACCUAAACCGCUAAACCUAAACCCUAAACCCUAAACCCUAAACCCUAACCCUAGAACCCUAAAACCUAAACCCUAAACCCUAAAACCCUAAACCAAACCGCUAACCCUAAACCUAAACCACCCUAAACCUAAACCCUAAACCCUAACACCUAACACCUAACCCUAACCCCUAAGCCCUAAACCUAAGCCUACAAACCUUAAGCCCUAAAAACCCUAAGCCCUAAAACCCUAGCAGCCUACCAAACCCUAAAGCCCUAAAACCCUAGCCCUAAGCCCUAAGCCCUAAAACCCUAGCCCUAAGCCCUACAGCCUAAGCCCUAAACCCUAAAAACCCUAAACCCUAAGACCCCCUAAAAAACCCUAAACCUAAACCCUUAACCCCAAACCCAAACCCCAAACCCUAAAACCCUAAACCUAAGCCCCGCAAGCCCGUACCAUUAAGGCCGAAAUCCUAAAAGCCCUAAUGGUCCUAAAGCCCAAAAGCCUGAAUGUCCUUUAAAAAAGCCCUAAGCCCCAAGGACCGUACUUUAGCCCCAAAUCCUAAAGCCCCCUAAAGGUCCUAAAAGCCCGAACCCGAAAGGCCUUUAAUAGGUCCCAAGGCCCAGAGCCCAAGGCCUUACACCAAAUAAAAUUCAAGUAAGUAAGCCCCUGAAAGCCCUAAAAUCCGCAAUGCCCAAAGGCCAUUUAAAAAGCCCCAAGCCCCAGGCCCACACAAGAAAUGACAUUCAAAAAGGUAAGCCCCUAAGCCCACAAGCCCUCCAAAGCCCCUAAGGGCCCCAAAGCCUCCAAGCCACCAAAGCUCCCAAACCCAGGCCCAGACAAAUGGAAAGUAAAAAAGUAAUACCUAAAGGCCCCAAGCCCCAAAGCCUUAGGGCCAGAACAAUACAAGAUACUAUUAUUCCCAAAUAAAAGAUAAAAUUAAACAUAAGAUAGAUGGGCUAAAGGAAACGAAAGAAACAGAGGAGAGGGAGGACACAGGAAUAUUAAAGUAACUAAACCAAGAUAACCAGAUUAUUAUGACAAUAAGAAAUGAAAAUAGGAAUAUUAAAGUAACUUAAAACUAGAUUAUGAAACCGGACCCACCACAGAUUAUGACAAAAAUUUUAUUAACAAGAAUACUUUGAAAAACCGAACAACCACAGAUUUUGACAAUAAUAUUAAUAAGUAUACUUUGAAAAACCGGACUAUAUAAUUUUCUUUUAUAUUUUAUCAAAUAUCAUAAUUAAAACUCGUUAUCAUAAUUAAAAUUCAUUAUCAUAAUUAAAAAUUCCUUAUCAUGGCAACCAAUUGAUCGAAAAAUCCACUAUAGUAUUUCAGGAGAAUGCCGGUUCCGUGCCACUUUGAAAACAUCAAGAAAGACGAAGAGUUUUGCUUCUUUAAUGAUGAAAACAACCAAGAUCCUGAAAACAAAUUAUAUAAUCAGAAAUCAUGCAAGUGAUGAUAGUAUACAUCUCAUAUGGUUCAACAUUAACUAUAAAAGAAUGAAGAAUUAUGAAUAAAUCGAGAAUAAAAAGAAUGCCAAACUUCAUAAUCAUCCAAUCUAUUUAGUUGUCAAAUUUCACAAAUCGUCCAAUCUAUUAAGCUACUACGAGAAAAACAAAACACUGCCAGCAGCAUUUUGAACAAAAUAGUGAUGACGAACAAAUCGUAAAACAGUAUGAUAAAAGGAAUGUCAAACUUCACAGUCAUCCAAUCUAUUAAAGUUAAUACGAGAAGGAUAAGACAAUCAUCCAAUCCUAAACCAACCUAUGACCUAGGAGGAGGAAAAGGACAGGAAUUAAUUAGCUAUAAUACCCACAAAAUCUCUUUGCAAAUUAUGUUUUUGUUAUCUUUUCUCAAUGUUCAAAAUUUGUUUUGGAACUGACCCAAAGCCAAAAACAUGAAGCUAAAUAGAGAGAACUAGAAAUGAGGGAAAACCUGAAAUCUGGACCAACCCUCUAUUUGAGAGAGGAGAAGGGGAAAGAGAAUAAGAACUAUAAAGGAGAUCCACAAAUUCUCUUUCAAAAUUUUACUUCUAUUGUGUUUAUCAAUAUUCAAACUACGGUAACAAGUAAUGCAAAUGUCACAAUCAACUUGUAUUAUACAGAAUUGUAUUUUAAUCAAAUUAUAUUACAAAUUCAAUAUAGCUUCUGUUUCAAUAACAAACAGUCAAUAACGUAAUCAUAAUAUGCAACACCUAUUAAUCAAUGAAUUAAUAUUUGUUAUUUUCUGUCAUAAUCAGAUACUCUUAGAUUGUUCAAGUAAUCACACAAAGAAAUAAACCCUAACUCCUAACCUUAAAGCCCUAAAACCCAAACCCCUACAACCCUAAACGCAAAGCUGCUUCUCCUUCCGUUGUUGUUGUUGUUGUUGCCAUUGUUGUUGUUGUUGCCGCUGCUGCUGUUUCUGCCUCUUCUAGUACCUAAUCCCUAGACCAUCAAACCUUGUGCUACUUUUGUUGCUGCUUCAACUUCCCUAUUGUAGACCCUAAACAACGAAACCUAGUUUGGAGAAUUAGAGAAAAUAAUUAAGAUUCUGCAAUUCUAAACCAAUCUAUGACCUCUAGUGGCAUGAUUCUUUUCUCAUAGACCGUACCUGUUUAUAGAUUAUCCUUCUGGUAAAGACAGAGAAGUUGCGAGACUCGGUAGUGUCUUUGUGUUCUGUCUCCUUCGCACAUGUUCACUGUUUAAAUAUACAAAGGUACGUGCUAAUUUGCUCGUUGCUCUAUGAUAGGGUAAAGGUAAGAGACCUGGUUUUCUAACUUCAUAUACGCCAUUCAUUUGGUUAAUUGCCAGCUUUUAGCUACCAAGAACUUCCAGUUGAUGUACUUUUCAUGUCACAGGCUAGCUCUCUUCCCACAAUCAACGUCGUGUAUUCUAACACGUUAUUCAAACAUGACCCUGACAAAGUAAAGGCGGGAUCAUGUUUAGGGCGCCAUCAAAAUACAUCUUCCAGGCUUUAAUUUUUUUUCUUCAAAGAAUGUAUACAUUCUAAUUUUUAAGCAGACUAAUCUAAUCGCAUAGAAAAAGAUUAAAAGAUUAAAAGAUACAGAAUGUUUGUCGAAUUACAAGCAAUCUCGUGAUCGUUCAAUAUGCAAACCCGUUUAUUAUUAGCAUUUAUUAGUUCUUAUUCACAAUCUGAUACCCUUGAGAUUGUUCAAGGAACUAAAUCUAAAAACCAAUUACAAUUAAGAAAUCUAACGAAUUUUAGUGAUCAAACUUAAUGCAAGCUUACAAGAAAGUGUAGAAGAGAAAAUAUCUCCAAAAGCAUCAUCAAAUACUAUACAGACAUUAUAUAGGCCCAAAUAUAAACGUAAGCCAAGAAAUGGUCGAAAUCAGAUAGAAAAAGAUAAGUCACCUGGAGAAAUGUUGGCGGCGAUCGCAUCGGUGAACUGCACAAUAUCGCCAGCGAUGAUGGUGAGAACAAUGAUAUUGAGCUCCGAAUUGAAAGUGAACUCGGCCUUUCCAUUGAGUCCUCCCCCUCGUCACUUACCACCAAUGGAUGGUGAUCACCAUAAUGAUUCGCCAUUGGAGAGAACCUUCCGAUCGGGCUCCCUAGUAUUUCUUGAGGUCGGGCUCGAUGGAUCGGGCAAAGUGGAAGAAGGUGAUGGAUCGAUCGAUGGAGGCGAAAUGGAAGAAGGUGAUCGCUCGCUCUCGCUCUCGCUCUUUCUUUCUUUCUAUUUCAAAAUUAAGGUCGAAAAACCCUAGCGAAAUUUGGAUUCCCUCGAGAUCGAUGGAGGGAAAAGAAAUUUGGGAAGAAUGAAGCGGGAAUAAAUAGGAGCGCCAGAAGCUAAGUCGAGGUGGGACUAGGGCUUGGCCCGAGAAUUCGGCCCCAACUAUCUCAACCACGAUUGGUCUUUUUGGGCUUUUUUUUUUAACCUGAGAACCAUAGGCCCGGAGAAGAACCAAACUUUUUUUGAGCUGAGAACCAUAGGCCCAGAGAAGAAUCAGAAGCUCAUCAUAAAAUUACAAAGAAUAAACAUAAUAACCAACAAUAAGAUUUAGUUGCAAUUUCAACCCAAAAAAAAAAAAGAAAACUUAAUCCAUUGUAUGCUACACGUAGAAUAUAUGCUAAGUUUUCAUUUCGCAAAAGAAUUGAAUCAGCUGCCUUAUUGUACAUAAAAGGUUCAACUUUUAUAAUUUGGGGCGAUUAACAUGCACUGCUUUAAUUUUGCGCACUUUUUUUUGCUCACUUCAAAGUUGGACGGAGACUGGCCAAUUAGAACGCCCCUCUGCUUUAUGGCCCGGUUUUGCUAGUGCCUAUUGCAACACUGUUGUUUGCAACACUUAAAAGUCCAUGUCGAUCCUUCAGUCUAAUUUGGGCCAACCAUGUUCCCUGUUGUCCAAAGCUUACACGAUUUAAUAAUGGUCUCGUUUCUGGGCGUAUUUAGUCUCUCGUCUAACGCUUCUGACUCUGCGAGGCAAAUUAGUUAGAUCACAGUCGUGCAUGAUUUCAGCAUAAUCUCGGGUGCUUUCAAUUUGUUAAAUAGUAAAUAGUAUUAAAAUACCUAAUUUUAGUGUUUAGUGUCUACACGUCAAGAUUCUUUAUUAUAAUAUAUAAGAGUUAAAAGUAGAUCUUGCAAGCCAAGCAUACUUUGCUGAUCAUUAGAAACCUCCUUACAACAACUUGCAAUAUGGAAUGAGACUAACCUGUAUGCACUCAAGUCAAACCACGAUGCAUCAGAGUGGAACACGUCACCUCUGCAAUAUUCACUCUCAGGAUAUUUAUUUCAUACUAUAUAUUGGAUGGUUGAUGUAAUUUAAUAUGUAUUACAAACUCCAUAUCCUGAUAUAUAAUUUUUAAAAUAUUAAACUCUAAACCCUAAAUCCUAAAGGUCAAAUUUUUUUUUUUAUUUUAGUGUAAUUACUUGUUGAUCUUUUCUUUUUUUUUCCCUGCCCUCUUUGGAAAACCGAGUAUUUGCAUUAGAUAAAAGAUCCAUUAUUUUUAGGGACAGAAUUGAAUCUAGAAAGAAAAUCAUAUGGAAUUAUUUUUUCUUUGUAUAUCUUCUGGCGAUAAAUCAUUAAAAAUGAUGUAAUAUUUUAUCAGCUCUCAAUGUGAUCAUAAAAAUUUUGCAAAAUUACGCCCAAAUUAGUUUAACUAAUCUGAAGGCCCAUACGUAUAGGCUGCGAGCACAAGCCAACUCGUAAACCUAUAAAUGGUAGAUUCAUAGGCUGUGGUCCGGAAUUGGGUGGACUCGGUGCGAUUCUACAUAUCUAUAAAAAUGGCAUUUACGUAGUCUGGGAGCCUAACCCGGACCCAAUCUUACAUAUUAGGUUGAUCUGCUGCAUGAGUGAGAACACUACGUCGGUCAACAGAAAUGAGGGCCAAAGUAGGUUGACCAAACGUUGGUCCAGAUAUGAGCUAAAUAGACUGAAGAGCCAUGUGAUUCUCCUCGAUUCGGCCUAAAAAAAGGGAUUGGGUUCUCUUAACCGUAGCCCAUAGGCCUAAUAAAAGGGAAAGUUGCAGUGACUCCGAAGACACCGGGCCCUUCUUUGGGUAUUUUCCUCCCUAUGACCAUAGGGCCGUAAAAAUAAUAGAUUCAUACGCUGUAGGCCCAAAUUGGUUCGGUAAGUUAUGAAAUCCAGUAUUCAAUAUGUUGCAACGAAAGCCCGAUCCAAUUAUAAAACAAACACCAACUCCAUCAUAGGAAUUAGGUGCUGCUGCACUAUAAUAAACACCAACUCCAUCAUCGGAAUUAGGCCUAAUGUACGUUGACUGGGCUUCGAUUUUUUGUUAACAUUGGCCCAUUGGUCUAAAUAUUUGUUUAAUCAAAGAGAGAGAGGCCGUGAACCCAAGCCCAGAUAUGAACAGAGAUGAGAGGCAUGACCUUUUUCCAAAAGUCGGUCCAAACUAGUUUAAGGGUGUGGUCUACUGUACGUUUAUAAAUAAAAUAUACAUAUAUAAAAGGUUCGGGGUUUAGGGUUAAAUUUUAAAAAAUAAUCAAGGGGUAGGUAGGUCUACCUGGCCGGCUGGCUAUAAGAAAGAUAUAUUUCACCAUUUUGUUGUUAAGCAGAGAGUAAUAUUUAUGGUGACUAAUGAAUCAUCACAGAAAUAUAUAUCUCUUUACUCCCUACUAUAAGGGAUGGAAAAUUUUAUUUUUCUUCUUAAUUAUUAAAAGUGUUUUUAUUUGUUAAUUGAUUUUAUGUUCUUUUGGUUACAUUAUAAAAAAUUUUAUUUCAGUUUCAAUAAAAUCAGCUAUUAAAUAAGGCUAAUCCAUCAUUAUUAAACUUUUAUAUUCACUCCCAUCCACAAGAAAAUCAGGCCAACCAAUUUUUGUGGCACAAAUCAACUUAGGAAGGUCCUAAGAAUAGAAUAAAAUGGGCUUUGACAAAUAUUUUUUGCGGAGAGUUUUGUUUUUUAUUCUAAAAAUGGACAUUUCCAAACUCAUGAGGAUAAAAUUAUACGAGAACAGUCGAUUUUGCUAAAAUCAGGAGAUUUAUUUAUUUAUUUUGAUUAAUUACAAAUUAUUAAAAUUUUGCAUAAUAGCAUCAAAAUAAAAAAAGUUCGCUCAAUUGCAUGAAAACUUUGCACAAUCCUGCAAAAGUAUGAUGCAUAGCUCUUUGAACUAUGGAUAAAAUUCAUAUAAAUAAAACACGGUUUUUCUUACUUAAAAACUAUCCUUAUAUCACUUUUUCAAAAAGUAAUUUUCUAAGCCCUUGUUUGGUUGGGGCUUCAGGGAUAGAAUAAUCCCUUAACCCUCAUAUUAUCCCCAAACACUCCCAAAAAUGUGUGGAGUUAGCUAUCCUUCUUAUCCCGUCUACUCCAAUCAAACAUUAUUUUUCACUAUUCUGGACUAACUCCAACCCCCAACAAAACACAAAAUUACUUUAACCCCAACUUAACCCUGAACUUAACCCUAUUUGUAAAAUAAUUAGUUUUUUCUUAACCCCGAACCAAACGGUAGCUAAGAGAAUCUCUUCACUACUCAGGGCUAAUGCUAGACCUAAACUGGACUUUGAUUGCGUGGCAUUUAUUUCAGAUUAAAAAAUGAAAACACUCCAAAGGUAGACAUACCAAAGCCUACUUCCGAUCGGCCUUUGUGUGCGUUCUAGGCCUCUUGUCCCCCGAGCUAUAAGUGCCUAGGCCCAUUUUGUUCAAAGAAAUUGUGCACAAAUUCGGUGCGACUUUAUUGCGGCCCGGAUUGAAUCCAAUGCUUACUUGUUGGGCCAGAUUAAAUUUUCAAUGGCGCAUAGGCUUACUAAUCCUAACGGCUCAUCUCAGCUCAUUCUUUUGUUUUCCGGAGAACACUCGUUUGUUUUUCCGAAAAAUUGCACGGACCCCCUCAUUUACUUUUUUGAUGAUUGAGAGUUUUUCUGGAGAGUUACCACAUAUAGUCCAUAUCCAUUUUUUUAUUCUUUCUAGGUAAAUAUGCAUGAAGCCUCCCUCAAGUAUUGGUCAUUUUUGAAAUAGAUAUUUUAAUUAUUUUUCUUUUUAUUGAGACCUUUACUUCUUUUUUCUUUUUUAAUAUUAUAUUUUGAUAUAUGUAAAUUUAUUUGACCGCAUAAAAAAAAGUUAAAAGGAAAUUAGUCAAAAAACAAAACAAAAAAAAAAUCCAAGUUGAGGGAGUGUACUACAUUAUUAUAUACAAAGUAUACUAUACAAUACACUACUAUAUACAUAGUACAGUAUAACAUACAUGUAUACGGGUAAAUGGGCCUAGGAACGGCCCACGCAUGGAGCGUGUUGGGCUUCAAUUAGUAUUAUAUUUGAUCCUGAUAGGCCGAAUUUAAUUUUCCUAAUGGGCCAGGGAAAGGCCCUGCGCGGGUUGGGCUAUUUUCCAUUUCCGGUAAAACGGCGGGACUUUCCUUUUUAGGUAAAGUCUUAUAUAGUAAGUCGGCCCGAAAAUGGAAAGUUUCACUUCAGUAGCUUAAUAUUAUGCUGUAAUUUGCUCUUUUUUUGCUUUUUUUUUUUAUUCUAUUGUCAAGGCAUUUUUUCUUUAAGCAAUCAAAAACAAGUAAAUUUGGAGAAAUCUCAUGGGAUUUUUCUUUUUUACUUGUUGUAAUUAAAAAGAGAAAAUAUGGAGAACACUCAUCACAAUCUUUAUUUUUUAUUCUUUUUUGAGGUAAGAGGCUAUUAUAUAGAUAACACAAUUUAUGAUUAAACGUGGGGUCCACUCUAACCAUGAAAAGCAGUUAAAUCUAGCCCAGUAAAAAUAACGCGUUGAAUUUGAUUAAAUAGGCUUCCACCUUGAGUCCAUAAAAAAAUGACCAUGCAUAUAACAUGAUUAAUUGGGCCUAAACACUAAUAAAUGGAACCUUUUCUAACUUGCCAUCAGGGUUGGUGUGAUUUUAAGUUAAUUUUUGGGAGCAAAAUUAAUUACCUCUUAGGUGAAAUAUAGUAUCAUUGUGAAUUUCAAGAUCUUCUAAAGAGAAAAGGCCAAAUUUCUUAUUUAUAAUGUCAUUAGGUAAUUUUUAUGUCAAAUAAGUUAUUUUUAUAAGAACUUAGUAUGUUUCACGAGUUCUCUUCUUUCAAAACUUAAUUAGAUGGAGAAAAUAAACUAUUUCAUGCUAGACAUUUCACCAAUUCUCAGCUUUUAAUCACGAUAAAAUAUUUCUUUUGUUGAUUAUAAAAAAUAUUGGAUAACUUAUUUCAAUCCCCAAUUACAAUAUUUGGUAUCAUUAUUGGUAUUUAAUUUUCGUACCAAUAAAGGAAAAUGAAGAAAAUGAAAAAGAAAAGAAGGGCUUAGUUGAGUGAUAUAGCCUCUGUAAAUCAAUAAAAAGAUUACAAAAAAAAGGAGAAAAGUUUUGGUGAGUGUUCUCCAUAUUUAGCUAUUGUUUAUUACUCUAGAAAAAAAAAAAAAAAAAAAAAAAAUCUGUUGAGUGUUCUUCAAAUUUAACUAGUUUUGGUUGUGUAAGAUAAAAACAAAAAUAAUCCCGAACCUUAACCGAAAAACAAAAAAGGAAAAGGAGUUUUUUAUUAAAAAAAAGGUAAAUUGUAAACUUUCUAUUUUGGGGCUAUUCACGAGGGUUACUAUUUUCGACUUUGCCUGAAAUGGAAAGUUCCAUAAUUUUUACCAAAAACGGAAGGUUAAUGCUUGGAGCUGGGCCCAACCCGGACCAUUAAGGGAAAUGGGACUCAUAACGGCCUACAACGUCCAACGUCGGUAAGCUUUCAAUAAAAUGGGUCUUAACGAGCCUGCCCAAGCACAGUCCGGUUCGUCUAAAACACCGAUUCGCCUUUUGCCAUUUUAGGUAAAGUCGAAAAUAGUAACUCUCGUGAAUUAGCCCAAAAUGGAAGGUUUCGCUACUGGGGCCGAAAAUAUAUGCUGGGUCAUAAGUUUUUUUAAAAUUUUUUUUUAAAAUAAGAAUAAGAAUUGUCUAUACUAUAGCCUCUUAACUAAAAGAAAAUUGAAAAUAAAUAAAAAAUCUUGGGAGCAUUCUCCAUAUUACCUAUUUUUGAUUAAUACAAAUCAAAAAGAAAAACCCCAUGAGUUUUCUUCAAAUUUAUCUAUUUAUAAUUGCUCAAAAAGAAAAAAAUCGCCUCAACCAAAUAAUUAUAAAAAAAAGCAAAAACAAAGGAGCAAGUUACAGCCCCAUAUUAAGCUCGGCAAAGUGAAAACUUUUCAUUUUGGGGCUAUGCACGAGAGUUACUAUUUCCGACUUUACCUUAAAUGGAAAGUUCCGUAAGUUUUACCAAAAACGGAAGGUUAAUGCUUGAGCUGGGCCCAAUCUGGCCUAUCAAGGGAACUGGGUCUUAUAACGGCCCACAGGUUCCAAGGUCGAUAAGCUGUUUCGAAAAAAUGGGUCUUAACGGGCCGGCCCAAGGUCCGGGCCGGUUCGUCUACCAUUUUGGGUAAGCUCUCCAUUUUAGGUAAAGUCGAAAAUAGUAACUGAAUUAACUAAACCCAAAACCAUAAACCUAACGAUGGAGGGAAAUAGAUUUGGGGAAAAAGGAUUUGGGGCGGGAACAAAAAUAAUAAUAAUAAAAUUUUUUAAAAAAGGGAAAAAAAAUUGCAUGUUAAGUAAAUUUUAAAAUCACCUCGUAGGGCUUAAUAUUGGUUCUAAAUUAAUCUGGCAAUCCACUGUAAAACAUUUAAGCAGCGAUUAAUUAAUGUAAUUUUAUGAUAUAUUGCUGUUCUAAAUCAUGGUGCUAAUGUAUUAGUCCGGCCCAAGAAUAAUAAAAAUGACCAUUCAGCCCGUCGCUAAAAACAAUCUGGCUGAAACAAUGUUAUGGGCUACACUUGUGCUGAAAGGUCAAACAGGUCUAAAAAUAAAAGGCUUUCAUUACCCGAGCUCAAUGACAGAUGGC